UCCAACGGCAAAGAGGCUGACUGCGUUCAAAACUCAGGCCACAAACAAAAGAAACAAAACAACUUUUUAAUUACGGCCAGGAUUUAAAAACACAAAACGUCAAACGCAAAUGUCAAUUUUCCCGCGCGAAGUGCUUUUUCUUAAAAGGUUUUAAUUCGGCAAUGAGUUAUCGGGUGAAAGUGAUUCUAGAACUAAAGUGAAAGGGGUACUAGUGUCAAAUAAUUGAAUUUCCUGGCCCGCAGUCACACCCACUCACGCUAUGUCCCAACCAUCGCGGCCAACCAAGCAAUGUCAAUGGUGAACCAUGAACAAACCAACCCAAAAUGGAUCGACAGCGAAAAAUACACAGAUAGAAAACCACAAAUAAACGACAAGGUUUUCAAAAAGAGAAAAAACUGCUCUGCGAAAUGGAGAAGCAGAGUUAUCUGUGAAAAUUCAAUAUGGCGGAUUUCAAGAUGGCGGGAGAAGACAAAAUGGCGGCUGAGACCCGGCGUGCUGAUUCCUUUGAUCAUUUUGAACGUCACACGACCAGCUGCUGG